rnacentral:sRNA from 1 species
CUUUAAAAAUCUGGAUCAAGCUGAAAAUUGAAACACUGAACAACGCAAGUUGUUCGUGAGUCUCUCAAAUUUUUGCAAUGCGAUGAUGGAUCGGAAGAAACAUCUUCGG